rnacentral:rRNA from 1 species
CCCUUAGAUGUUCUGGGCUGCACACGUGCUACACUGGCAGGUUCAGCGAGCUUCAUGCCCUGAUCUGAAAGGAAUGGGAAAUCUUUUCAAAACCUGCCGUGCUUGGGAUAGAUGUUUGCCAUUAUUCAUCUUCAACGAGGAUUGCCUUGUAAGCGCACGUCAUCAGCGUGCAUUGAAUACGACCCUGUAUUCUGUACACACCGCCCGUCGCUCCUACCGAUUGAAGUUUUCGGUGAGUUGACAGGAGGAUUUUUUUGAAACUGGUUCGCCAGUGGAUUUUAGAUCCAAAUGCCAACGAAUCGAUGGCUUUAGAGGAAGGAGAAGUCGUAACA